CGCCUUUUGAUAUUAUACAAUCCAAAAUAUAUGUUUUCAAAAGGCGUAUGCAGUACGCGCGUGGGCUCUUCUCUAAAAUCGUAUUUCCCGAAAAGCUUAAAGCCGCUUGCCACGAUACGAACACGUGGGCUCGAUUCGGUGUUCUUCACUCCGCUAUACAUGUGCUACUCAGACACACAGCGUCAUUAUACAAUGAUAACGAAAGCAGACUACAAUGUGCGUCAUACCUAGAAUAAGAUCUGUAGAGUAGCGGAGCACAAACGAAGUCAGGUGCGAUAUUGUACGGAGAGGAAAAUCUGGCCUAGAGCUCGAGAGCAUAUAGCCAAUUGCGACAUGGCGUACCCUUAAAGUCCGUGCGACAACGAAGGAAGGUCCCUUCGAAGUCCCGUGGAACCAAUCACUACAAGAUCGUGAUCCCAAACCCGAAGGUGCACGUGGACCUGUCGUUUCCGCUUUCAUUAACAGGCGGUGUUCUUCAGAAUGACUUCAGUGACUGGGAUCGCUCGCUGGCCAAUCAACAAACCGAAAAUUAAAUUUUCGCCGAAGAUAGAUACGAUUGGAGUCACUUCACAUUCGGGGGCCAUUUUUGAUAUACUAAAUGGAGCCUAUCUUCUAACAAUCGGUCUAAAGAUAGUUCUCUCAAUUUUGGAAGCGAUUUAUCCGUUUGUCGUUGAUACCCUGCUAGGCAAUCUGCUCAAAAAAGCUCUUCAACAAUGGAUCGAUGUAUAUCAUGAGCAACUGCCCUUUUAAUCUCCGUCGUUUCUACUUCGACGUCCGACGUAUUUUUGCGCCUAAACUGCAAAACGAUGAUAUCGAAGCGACAACUCACAAAUCACUAAAUGCUUCAAGCUCCAAUAGAUAAUUAGCUUACAUUUGUAAGUCUCUGCUUAAUAAAAAGGUUUAACCUAUAAACCUAAAAUAUAUUUUGUUUGCUAAAAACACGGGAUUUCGUUCAUGACCAUGAUUCAACAUUUGGUAUGCGUCAAAUACUGGGUUAUGCCAUAUAUACUAGUAGUA